rnacentral:SRP_RNA from 2 species
GCCGGGCGUGGUGGCGCACGCCUGUAGUCCCAGCUACUUGGGAGGCUGAGGCAGGAGAAUUGCUUGAACCCAGGAGGUGGAGGUUGCAGUGAGCUGAGAUCGUGCCACUGCACUCCAGCCUGGGUGACAGAGUGAGACUCCAUCUCAA